UCCCGUUUAGCUCAGUUGGUAGAGCGCGUCACUAGUAUUUGCUUAUGUAAUUACAAUGACGAGGUCAGUCGUUCGAGUCGGCUAAUGGGAA
rnacentral:tRNA from 1 species